rnacentral:rRNA from 1 species
UACGGAGGGUGCGAGCGUUGUCCGGAAUCACUGGGCGUAAAGGGCGCGUAGGCGGCCUGAUAAGUAGGGGGUGAAAUCCUGCGGCUUAACCGCAGGGCUGCCUUCUAAACUGUCGGGCUCGAGCACAGUAGAGGCAGGUGGAAUUCCCGGUGUAGCGGUGGAAUGCGUAGAUAUCGGGAGGAACACCGGUGGCGAAGGCGGCCUUCUGGACGGAUACUGACGCCGAUACGCGAAAGCGUGGGGAGCAAACAGG